CGUAACAAGGUCUCCGUAGGUGAACCUGCGGANNNAUCAUUACAAGAACGCCCGGGCUUCGGCCUGGUUAUUCAUAACCCUUUGUUGUCCGACUCUGUUGCCUCCGGGGCGACCCUGCCUUCGGGCGGGGGCUCCGGGUGGACACUUCAAACUCUUGUGUAACUUUGCAGUCUGAGUAAACUUAAUUAAUAAAUUAAAACUUUUAACAACGGAUCUCUUGGUUCUGGCAUCGAUGAAGAACGCAGCGAAAUGCGAUAAGUAAUGUGAAUUGCAGAAUUCAGUGAAUCAUCGAAUCUUUGAACGCACAUUGCGCCCCCUGGUAUUCCGGGGGGCAUGCCUGUUCGAGCGUCAUUUCACCACUCAAGCCUCACUUGGUAUUGGGCAACGCGGUCCGCCGCGUGCCUCAAAUCGUCCGGCUGGGUCUUCUGUCCCCUAAGCGUUGUGGAAACUAUUCGCUAAAGGGUGUUCGGGAGGCUACGCCGUAAAACAACCCCAUUUCUAAGGUUGACCUCGGAUCAGGUAGGGAUACCCGCUGAACUUAAGCAUAUCA
rnacentral:rRNA from 1 species